UAAUACGGAGGGUGCAAACGUUGCUCGGAAUCAUUGGGCGUAAAGCGCGCGUAGGCGGCGAAGCAAGUUGGAUGUGAAAGCCCUGGGCUCAACCUAGGAUGUGCAUACAAAACUGCUUCGCUUGAAUCUCGGAGGGGGUCAGGGAAUUCCCGGUGUAGAGGUGAAAUUCGUAGAUAUCGGGAGGAACACCAGUGGCGAAGGCGCUGACCUGGACGAUGAUUGACGCUGAGGCGCGAAAGCGUGGGGAGCAAACAGGAUUAGAUACCCUGGUAGUCCACGCCGUAAACGAUGAGUGCUAGGCGCCGGAGGAUUGACCCCGUCGGUGCCGAAGCUAACGCGUUAAGCACUCCGCCUGGGGAGUACGGUCGCAAGACUA
rnacentral:rRNA from 1 species